rnacentral:misc_RNA from 1 species
UACGGAGGAUCCAAGCGCUAUCCGGCAUCAUUGGGUUUAAAGGGUCCGUAGGCGGGUGAAUAAGUCAGUGGUGAAAGGCUGCAGCUCACCUGUAGAAUUGCCAUUGAUACUGUUGACCUUGAGUAAUUAUGAAGUGGUUAGAAUAUGUAGUGUAGCGGUGAAAUGCAUAGAUAUUACAUAGAAUACCGAUUGCGAAGGCAGAUCACUAAUAAUUCACUGACGCGGAUGGACGAAAGCGUAGGUAGCGAACAGG